rnacentral:tRNA from 1 species
UCUAUUAUGGCAGAUUAGUGCAAUGGAUUUAAACCCCAUUUAUAAAGCUUAAACUUUUUUUAGAA